GACGAACGCUGGCGGCGUGCUUAACACAUGCAAGUCGAACGGAAAGGCCCUGCUUGUGUGGGGUGCUCGAGUGGCGAACGGGUGAGUAACACGGGAGUAACCUGCCCUGGACUUUGGGAUAACUUCAGGAAACUGGGGCUAAUACCGGAUAGGAGCGCCUGCUGCAUGGGGGGGGUUGGAAAGUUUCGGCGGUUGGGGCUGGACUGGGGGCUUAUCAGCUUGUGGGUGGGGUAGUUGCUUACCAAGGCAUUGACGGGUAGCCGGCCUGGGAGGGUGGACGGCCACAUGGGGCCUGCGAUACGGCCCAGACUCCUACGGGAGGCAGCAGUGGGGAAUAUUGUACAGUGGGCGGAAGCCUGAUGCAGCGACGCCGCGUGCGGGAUGCCGGCCUUCGGGUUGUAAACCGCUUUCGCCUGUGACGAAGCGUGAGUGACGGUAAUGGGUAAAGAAGCACCGGCUAACUACGUG
rnacentral:rRNA from 1 species